UACAGAGGUCUCAACCGUUGUUCGGAUUCAUUGGGCGUAAAGGGUGCGUAGGCGGUCGCGCAAGUCGGAUGUGAAAUCUCAGGGCUCAACCCUGAAACUGCAUUCGAUACUGCGUGGCUAGAGUGCUGGAGAGGAGACUGGAAUUUACGGUGUAGCAGUGAAAUGCGUAGAUAUCGUAAGGAAGACCAGUGGCGAAGGCGAGUCUCUGGACAGCAACUGACGCUGAGGCACGAAAGCGUGGGGAGCAAACAGG
rnacentral:rRNA from 1 species